rnacentral:rRNA from 1 species
ACGGGGUGCAGCAGGCGCGAAAACUCCGCAAUACACGAAAGUGUGACGGGGGGACCCCAAGUGCAUUCACGCAAGUGAAUGCUUUUGUGAAGUGUAAAUAGCUUUGCGAAUAAGAGCUGGGUAAGACCGGUGCCAGCCGCCGCGGUAACACCGGCAGCUCGAGUGGUGAUCACUGUUAUUGGGCCUAAAGCGUCCGUAGCCUGUUUGAUAAGUCCUUGGGCAAAUCCUGCCGCUUAACGGUAGGAAUUCUGAGGAUACUGUCAGACUUGAGGCCGAGAGAGGUCGGAGGUACUCCUGGGGUAGCGGUGAAAUGCUAUAAUCCUAGGGGGACCACCAGUGGCGAAAGCGUCCGACCAGAGCGGGCCUGACGGUAAGGGACGAAAGCCAGGGGAGCGAACGGGAUUAGAUACCCCGGUAGUCCUGGCCGUAAACGCUGUGGGCUAGGUGUUGCAUGCUCUACGAGGGCGUGCAGUGCCGUAGAGAAGUUGAUAAGCCUACCGCCUGGGAAGUACUAUCGCAAGAUAGAAACUUAAAGGAAUUGGCGGGGGAGCACCACAAGGGGUGAAGUCUGCGGUUUAAUUGGAUUCAACGCCGGAAAUCUCACUGGAAGCGACGGCAGUAUGAUGGCCAAGCUGAUGACUUUGCUUGACGAGCCGAGAGGAGGUGCAUGGCCGUCGUCAGCUCGUACCGUAAG